UGCUUCUGAUUGAUAACAUUUGAGUGAGUGGCGGACGGGUGAGUAACACGUGGGUAACCUGCCCUAAAGUGGGGGAUAACAUUUGGAAACAGAUGCUAAUACCGCAUAAAACCUAGCACCGCAUGGUGCAAGGUUGAAAGAUGGUUUCGGCUAUCACUUUAGGAUGGACCCGCGGUGCAUUAGUUAGUUGGUGAGGUAAAGGCUCACCAAGACCGUGAUGCAUAGCCGACCUGAGAGGGUAAUCGGCCACACUGGGACUGAGACACGGCCCAGACUCCUACGGGAGGCAGCAGUAGGGAAUCUUCCACAAUGGACGAAAGUCUGAUGGAGCAACGCCGCGUGAGUGAAGAAGGUUUUCGGAUCGUAAAACUCUGUUGUUGGAGAAGAACGUAUUUGAUAGUAACUGAUCAGGUAGUGACGGUAUCCAACCAGAAAGCCACGGCUAACUACGUGCCAGCAGCCGCGGUAAUACGUAGGUGGCAAGCGUUGUCCGGAUUUAUUGGGCGUAAAGCGAGCGCAGGCGGUUUCUUAAGUCUGAUGUGAAAGCCUUCGGCUCAACCGAAGAAGUGCAUCGGAAACUGGGAAACUUGAGUGCAGAAGAGGACAGUGGAACUCCAUGUGUAGCGGUGAAAUGCGUAGAUAUAUGGAAGAACACCAGUGGCGAAGGCGGCUGUCUGGUCUGUAACUGACGCUGAGGCUCGAAAGCAUGGGUAGCAAACAGGAUUAGAUACCCUGGUAGUCCAUGCCGUAAACGAUGAGUGCUAGGUGUUGGAGGGUUUCCGCCCUUCAGUGCCGCAGCUAACGCAUUAAGCACUCCGCCUGGGGAGUACGACCGCAAGGUUGAAACUCAAAGGAAUUGACGGGGGCCCGCACAAGCGGUGGAGCAUGUGGUUUAAUUCGAAGCAACGCGAAGAACCUUACCAGGUCUUGACAUCCUUUGACCACUCUAGAGAUAGAGCUUUCCCUUCGGGGACAAAGUGACAGGUGGUGCAUGGUUGUCGUCAGCUCGUGUCGUGAGAUGUUGGGUUAAGUCCCGCAACGAGCGCAACCCUUAUUACUAGUUGCCAGCAUUUAGUUGGGCACUCUAGUGAGACUGCCGGUGACAAACCGGAGGAAGGUGGGGACGACGUCAAAUCAUCAUGCCCCUUAUGACCUGGGCUACACACGUGCUACAAUGGAUGGUACAACGAGUCGCGAGACCGCGAGGUUUAGCUAAUCUCUUAAAACCAUUCUCAGUUCGGAUUGUAGGCUGCAACUCGCCUACAUGAAGCCGGAAUCGCUAGUAAUCGCGGAUCAGCAUGCCGCGGUGAAUACGUUCCCGGGCCUUGUACACACCGCCCGUCACACCAUGAGAGUUUGUAAC
rnacentral:rRNA from 2 species